rnacentral:rRNA from 1 species
UACGGAGGGGGCUAGCGUUGUUCGGAAUUACUGGGCGUAAAGCGCGCGUAGGCGGACCAGCAAGUCGGGGGUGAAAGCCCGAGGCUCAACCUCGGAACUGCCUUCGAUACUGCGGGUCUCGAGUCCGGGAGAGGUGAGUGGAAUUCCUAGUGUAGAGGUGAAAUUCGUAGAUAUUAGGAAGAACACCAGUGGCGAAGGCGGCUCACUGGCCCGGUACUGACGCUGAGGCGCGAAAGCGUGGGGAGCAAACAGG